GACGAACGCUGGCGGCGUGCUUAACACAUGCAAGUCGAACGGAAAGGCCCUGCUUUUGUGGGGUGCUCGAGUGGCGAACGGGUGAGUAACACGUGAGUAACCUGCCCUUGACUUUGGGAUAACUUCAGGAAACUGGGGCUAAUACCGGAUAGGAGCUCCUGCUGCAUGGUGGGGGUCGGAAAGUUUCGGCGGUUGGGGAUGGACUCGCGGCUUAUCAGCUUGUUGGUGGGGUAGUGGCUUACCAAGGCUUUGAAGGGUAGCCGGCCUGAGAGGGUGACCGGCCACAUUGGGACUGAGAUACGGCCCAGACUCCUACGGGAGGCAGCAGUGGGGAAUAUUGCACAAUGGGCGGAAGCCUGAUGCAGCAACGCCGCGUGCGGGAUGACGGCCUUCGGGUUGUAAACCGCUUUCGCCUGUGACGAAGCGUGAGUGACGGUAAUGGGUAAAGAAGCACCGGCUAACUACGUG
rnacentral:rRNA from 1 species